rnacentral:rRNA from 1 species
GACGAACGCUGGCGGCGUGCUUAACACAUGCAAGUCGAACGGAAAGGCCCUUCGGGGUCCUCGAGUGGCGAACGGGUGAGUAACACGUGGGUGAUCUGCCCUGCACUUUGGGAUAAGCCUGGGACACUGGGUCUAAUACCGAAUAGGACCACGCGCUUCAUGGUGUGUGGUGGAAAGCUUUUGCGGUGUGGGAUGGGCCCGCGGCCUAUCAGCUUGUUGGUGGGGUAAUGGCCUCCCAAGGCGACGACGGGUAGCCGGCCUGAGAGGGUGACCGGCCACACUGGGACUGAGAUACGGCCCGGACUCCUACGGGAGGCAGGGGUGGGGAAUAUUGCACAAUGGGCGCAAGCCUGAUGCGGCGACGCCGCGUGAGGGAUGACGGCCUUCGGGUUGUAAACCUCUUUCAAUAGGGACGAAGCGCAAGUGACGGUACCUAUAGAAGAAGCACCGGCCAACUACGUG